GAUGAACGCUGGCGGCGUGCUUAACACAUGCAAGUCGAGCGAAGCAGUUAAGAAGAUUCUUCGGAUGAAACUUGAUUGACUGAGCGGCGGACGGGUGAGUAACGCGUGGGUGACCUGCCCCAUACCGGGGGAUAACAGCUGGAAACGGCUGCUAAUACCGCAUAAGCGCACAGAGCUGCAUGGCUCGGUGUGAAAAACUCCGGUGGUAUGGGAUGGGCCCGCGUCUGAUUAGGCAGUUGGCGGGGUAACGGCCCACCAAACCGACGAUCAGUAGCCGGCCUGAGAGGGCGACCGGCCACAUUGGGACUGAGACACGGCCCAAACUCCUACGGGAGGCAGCAGUGGGGAAUAUUGCACAAUGGGGGAAACCCUGAUGCAGCGACGCCGCGUGGAGGAAGAAGGUCUUCGGAUUGUAAACUCCUGUUGUUGAGGAAGAUAAUGACGGUA
rnacentral:rRNA from 1 species